rnacentral:lncRNA from 1 species
CUUUGGGGUCAUUAGUAAGUAAAAUAAAGGUUACCUGAACACAAGCACUGCAGUACUGCAACAAUAAAUCUGAUAACCUGGAUGAUGACUAAGUGACUAAGGGGCUGGUAGCACGUAACAUGGAUAAGUUACACAAAGGGAUGAUUCACUUACAGGACAUGAUGCAGCAGUAACUGAGAUUUUUAUCAAGCUACUCAGAACAGUGCACGAUUUAAAAUUUAUGGAUUUACUUGGUGUGGUGGCGCAUACCUAUAAUUCUGGCUCCUCUAGAGGCAGUGUGCUAUGAUUACCCUAUAUGACUGUACUGCAACCUGGGAAACAUAGUGGGAUCAUGUCUCAAAAAUAAAAAGAUUUUAAACAUUUAUGAAUAAUAUUAAGUUCUAUUUGUUUCUAAACAUAAUUACUUAGGGUAAAUUUUUUGAUGAAUUAUAUGUUUGUAAGAUUUAUUCAUGCUGAUAAGUGAAAAGUUUGUUGUUUAAAUUUCAUUUUUGAUUGGCUAAAUAUUGAGUGAUUUACUUAUGAUAUUGUGUAUAAGUGCCUUUUUCUUCAUCUCUCUCUCUUUUAUAUUUUUAUUAGUCUCAAUGGAAGUUUGAUUACGUUCAAAUUUUUAAUCCAAAGUCUCAGAUUCAUAUACCUUCAGUCACUACUAUGGUUUGAAUGUUCUCUCUAAAACUCGGGUUUAAAUUUAAUGGACAUUGUGACAGUAUUAAGAGAUGGGAUCAUUAAGAGGUGAUUAGAUCCUUUCUCCUUAAUGGAUUAAUGCAGUUAUCAUGGGAGUGGGUCAGUGGUCUCAAGAAUUCAUCCCCUUUUUCCCACAGGUGAUAGGUAAUGAAGAUCUUCACCGGAAUUGGCCUCUUGAUCUUGGACUUUCCAGCCUCCAGAACUGCAAGCCAAAUAAACAUAUUGUGUAUAAAUCAUCCAAUCUGUGGUAUUCUGUUAUAACAGCAAAAAGUGAACUGAGACAGUUUAUUCUUUAGGAGUGGCCUGUAAGUGGUUUCAUAAGAGGAGAAAGAUACCUGAAUUCACUGUAUAAGUCCUCUCACCAUGUGAUGCACUGUACCACCUCAGGACUCUGCAGAAAGUUCCCACAACCCAGAAGAAUCUUACCAGAUGUGGUCUCUCAACUUCAGAGUUCUCACCCUAUAUAACUGUUUACAGAAGGAGACUCUGAACUUUAAACUUUUGACUUGGUACUGGAACGCGUUAAGACUUUAGGGCAAUGAGAUUAGAUGAAUAUGAAAAGCACAUGAGUCUUGAGGGACUAUGGGCAGAAUGCUAUGCUUUAAAUAUUUGUCCCUUCCAAAAUGCAUGUUGAAAUUUAAUCCUCAAUAUGGCAGUAUUGAGAGGCGAGGUAUUAAACAGAUAACUGUGUCAUGGG